rnacentral:lncRNA from 1 species
UGGUGUAUUCUUUUGCCUUUUUAUGAUAGUCUAUGCGGAUUAGACUAACGUUGCCUAUUACUUUUUUCAUUGGUCUUCGGAAAAACAAUGAAGAAAUAUGUUUGCUUCAUUAUUAGACCCAAAAACGAGUGAAAACAAUCUAGAAAUUUGUUUUCUUCACUAUUUGACACAAUAAAUAAAUAUGAAAUUUAUUUCAAAAAAAAAGAGAGAGAGAAAACCAUAAAUUUAGAGGCAAUGACACCAAAGAUUUAAGCAUCUUGACAUCACACUUCAAUCAUAACUAUUAUCUUAAAUUUUAAAUCACGUGCAGCAUUAAAUUCGUGCAAUUCAGAAAUUUUAUUUUCAUUGUGUUUCAUUAUUCUCUUUGCCCAUCUAGUUGCGUACAUCUUGAAAUUUUUGCACCCAUUUUGGGUGUACAAUUGGAGCUAAAGAAGAAAAUUUAUUGGAACUUUAAAGGUGAAGUCAGGGUGCUCUUUUCAGUAUCACUACUUUUCUUGAAAAGAGAGAAUCUCAAUUACUAUUCAUCUAUGAUUUCUCCUCACAUGUUGCCUGUGUGGACAAAAACAGCAAGCCAUGAUUAUUGACUGAUAACAUCUCAUUUUUUAUUACUCCCAACACUCAAUUAAUAUUGUUUAGGCCUCCACCGUUCAAUCCCAUGCCACCCAUUUCACACUUCAGAUCCUGUUAGGUAUCCAACUCUUCACCGUUCAUACAAAUAUCUACCUUAUAUAUACCUUUUUAGCUUCUCUUACACCUUUUGAAGUCUAUAGCUUAAGGAAAAAAAUGAAGGUGAUUUUCGUUCCACUGUCGAUGAGGAAGAAUGAAGACGAAGAAUUGGGAUCUACUGUGGUCACCGACGAUGUAGAGGAGGAUCUAAAGCUCGCGAUCAAGGACCACAAGGCAUGGUUUCUGCUUCUUUUUUGCCUAUGCUUUUGUGGAUAUCAUGUAGAGAAUACAAAGAAUGUGUUCUCUUCAUCAGAACUAACUAAUCAGUCGACGAAAAAUUAAAAACUUAAAUGGAGUCGACCCUGAAGGUUUGUUUUCAACUCUCAAAUUUCUACUUUUUUAAUUUCUAUCCGUUUGUUUUUCUUUAAGACUUUUAAUGAUUUGAUUAUUUUUCAGUACAUGAAUGUUAGAUUUUUGAAAUUUUUUGCCCCUAAAAAAAAGAAAUUGAGAAAAUUUUAGAUGAUAAAGAUUGCUUAGGUGAUUACAGCCACUGGUAGUGGUAUGUUGUUGUUGUAAGCUUCAAUUUGUUACUGUGUUUUGCAUUAUAAUCUUAAUACAAUUGUUUGUUUGAAGAAAAUAUACUUCUAAUUAACCAUUUUCCUUUAGACGAAGGCAGUUGCGGUCAAGGACAAGAUCUAGCUACCUUCUAUUUGGUCGCGAAAAGCCUGUGCACAAGGUCCUAGGCAGAGAGAAAUAUACGGAUGUAUAUCUCUCUAUUGAUUAAUUUUACACAUCUAUUAGAUAUUUAUGUAGGAUCUUGGUGUUUUGAUUGGCAAAUGACUAAUUGUUUAUGUGUGUUUAUGUUACUGGUGCAAUUGUAGUUGUGUGUGAUUUUGACUAAAGAUCUAUUUAAGGUUGAUCCAACUUAAUUGCUACUGUUUAGUUGCAAUGUGAAAAUAGAAUCGCUGUUCUGGAAUCGUUUAUAGCUUUUUACUGCUGAUAAUUUAUUUAUUUUACCCUUUUUAUUUUGAAUUCUUACCAUACUACUGACACUUGAACCUUUAACAUUCACAAAAAUGCAGUAAGGGGUAGAAAUAAACAAGGGCAUAUAUUCAAAUGCGAAAUUAUGAAUUACACUCUAAUUUUUUGCAUUUUUCGAGGAAUCAAGUAGAGACAUCAACAAUUCUAGAUACUUGUCUAAUUUAAGAUCAGAGUUAUGAGUUUAUUCUCCUUUCCAUGGAUACUUGUACAUCUUUCCACUUGAAUUAUCUUACUGAUUUUUGGCAGCUGCUGAUGUUUUCCUAUGGAGGGAAAAGAAAAUUUGUGCUGGCAUGCUUAUUCUUCGUUACAUCUUUAUUGUCAAGUAGGCUGUGGAUUAAUUAGGUUCUUGGAAGUGGAAUUAUGAUAAUUUAAAGGGAAAUUUUAGAAAAGUUAUCUUCUUCAGAAAUUGUGAAUAAUGUUGCAAUAAUUUCAUUAAUCAAUUGUGGGCAUAUACAUCAAUUAGCGUAAAUCAAAGAAUGAUGAAAUCAUAGUAGUCCAUUGAUGUGAGCACAUGAUCUCUUAUGAUCACUUUCCCUUGUAUAAUAGAAAUUUCUACAAUUGUGGGGAUACACUUUUGUUGGAUUGAACUUUUGUAUUUUUCAUUUUUUAAGUCUGAUAUUUAUAUUCUAUUUUUGCUUUAGCAGUUGUAUUCGAUCUAAGUUUGAAGGUUAAUUCUAUUCACUUCUCACUUCUAAUGCAGGUCCUGUAGCAGAAUAUGCAUUCCAUUGACAAGCAAGGAUUAUGGGACCUUCAACAGUCCUUAUUCUGGAGGUGUAUUUUUUGGUUUCCAUUCAUUUUCCUCUCGAUUACCCUUUUAUAUGCUUGUAUCCUCUACAUUAGUUGUAUAGUAACUUCCCAUCUUCGAGUCAUUUGCUCACUUGUAUUUAGAUCGAACUCUGAUAGUGAAAAGCAGAUAACUGUGCAGGAAGAUUUCUUUCUCUUACUAGGUGUCGAAACCCUUCAUACCUUAUCAGUUUCUAAGCUAAACGAUAUAAACAUAUUAUAAUAUGUAAUGAUUUACCCUAUCCCCAAGUGCAAUUUUGCAGAAUAAGUUUACGAGUUCAUUCUCUUCUUUCUCUGGUUCUUUUUCCUGCUGCGUUUUGCAAAAUGAAUUCCUGAAAUUUCAACUUCUUUUCCCCAGGAAGUUCUUUCAAUAGGUAGAUGUUAAGCACAUAAACUAUAUAUUUGUGUUCAUUGUUGAAACUCUAUGAAUAUCAUUGGUAAUUACUCAAAACAAUACUACAAAUUUUUUUAUUUAAUAUCUUGUUGAAAAGAGUUUGUUUUCCCCUAUCCUUGGAGAGUUUGUGAUUCUUCCAAAUAGUUAUUGUUUCCAUGGAGAUUAUGUUGAUAAACUCAGUGACCCAAAUAGCUGAUUUAUUCUUUGUUUCUGGUUGCUUUUACAACAAAAAGUUUUCCACCCAACAUCAAUAGCAAUGGAAGCAUUUGCCUUGAUAUUCUUAAUGGUACAAUCAUACUACAUGUGCAUCAUUCUAUACAUCUUGGUUUGUAUUCUUCCUCAUGGAACCAUCUUCCUUUGAUUUUCCAGCAAUCUUUCACAUCACUGCCCAUACUGUGCUACAUAGCGGGAAUGUCAUCCAUGGUGCAUGGGAAAAUGUACAACUAGCAUUAUUGAUCUAAGGUAAUUAAUUUUUUUUCGUUAUAAUAAUGAGAUGACAUCAUUUAAUGAAUUGUGGCUAUACACGUUCAAACUUGGACUAAAUUAAUUUUAAUGUAUGGGUUUCCACACUUGAUAUAUCAUACAUUAUUCUCUGUGUUCGCGUUCCCAUUUAUGACUGGUUCCACAGUCUUAUGCAUUGGCUUCAUCAUUAAAAAAUGUAACAGAUUGCAAUGUAUGCUCGGGAUUCAUUUAGUUCUUUUUUGGUCAAUACACUAACUUGGUUCGGAAGACAGGAAAAAUAAAUCAGGGAUUUGGCUUGGGUUUUAGGUGAUUUUAAAAUUGGUAAUCAAAGUAAACUUAUUUUAUUACUUAGUUAUGAGAAAAAUUGUUGGGUUGAAGUCACCAAAGUAAACAACCGAUCCAAUAUGAUGAUUAUAAUUACAACACAUAAAAAAAAAAAAUCUUUUAAUAUGUUGAGGAAUAUCCCUAUCAAUAAUUAUCUAGGAAAUGGCGACAUUCCAUAUAUAGAAAUAAACUCCCGAGUAUGAUCUUCUCUUACUUUUCUUUAAACCAUUUUCCAAGUUGCAUGCACAUGUUGGAUUGCCAUUAUCGUAUACGAUAGAUCUUCACAUUUCAUAUGCCAAUAUUAUCGAGUUUAGAUUCUCAAAAUUUAAACUCUCUCUCCAGAUAUACUAUUAUUACCCUUUGACUGCUCCUUUGGACCUUACUAAGGUUUACAAUAACAUCCAAUGGAAUAGCACAAAGGCCCAACACGUUGACACAAUAAUUCAUAUGAGACGCGACUGGGUAAGUUCCUCAUUUUAAUUCCAUUAUGUCUUCUCAUUUCUUCAUGCACCUUAAAUGCUUCAUCUCUAUUUUUCAAAGAGUAAAAUCAUAUGUAAAUUGACCACAUUAAAUUAAGUUCAUUUUCCUUACCUCAUUGAAUACUAAUUUUACCUUCAAAAUAACUGUGCCCGUGUAGAAUACAUAAAAUUCAUGCAUGUAACACAAACCAACCCUUCCCCCCCCCCCCUUCAAACGCAUAAUUUAAUUCAUUUUUAAAUAUGUAGUGAUAUCUAUUAUUUAACAAGAGCACGUGCCCAUUUAUUUAUAUUAUAAGAUAUAACAUGAAUCACCAAAAUCAUUUCAAAAUAAAUUUAGUACCUUCCAAGAGCGUAAAUCAGAAGUGGGUGGAAAGAAAUUUGUUAUAUAUUUUCUUCGUGUGUUGAAAUAUUCUUGCAAUUACAAGAAACAGGGAAAUCAUUUUUAGUAAAGGAAUGCCUAAGGUUUCUUUCUAAUUUUAGGUCCUUUAUUUAAUGAUAAGAUUGCACUAAUUAAUUAAUUAUCGAAUUCAUUGGAUUCAAAAUUGUGCUAAUUACCAAAUUCAUUACAUUGAAUAUUGGGCUGAUUCCAUUCUUCUUUACUGUCCAAAUAAAAAUUCAAUCAAACGAAAAAUAUAUAAAUGUUAAGAUCAAGCCUAUGUUUAAUUUAUUUAAUAACAAAUUAUAACAUCAUAAGCUUAUUAUAAAAUAUCAUAUUAUGUGUUAUAUGUUCAAUUGAAUUGCAUUAUAAUUAACUUUAAUUGCCACGUCGAUCAUAAGGCGUCCAAGGUACACUCCAUUACAAAACAUGGUUAUUCACAAAGACAAUAAAUUAACAUUUCGCAUCAUACAUAUAUGUAAAUUGAAGAAAAGAAAGUGCGGCGUUACAAAAGGAAUCUCAUCUUUUGGGUAUUAAAAUUUAUUUUAAUUUCACUAUUUAUUUAAUACCAACUCUAAUAUUUUUUUGUAUUCGUUUAGCUUUAUUUUACAUGAAAUUUGUUAGUUUAAGGGAUAUCCUCUUUUACAAUUAUUCUUAUAAUUUGUUUCCAUUGCAAAAAAUAAAAUAAAAUAAAAUAAAAAAGGUGGAAAAAAUAAAACCACCUACCCAAGGAAAAAUGAAUUCCCCAAAAAUAAGGAAUUGGUGCACGUGUGAGUCAAAGGUGGAAAACCAAUUGUCUAGAAAAUUUUUACUAUCAAACAAGCCAAAAGUGAGACAUGAAAUUUGUUUUCCAUUUUCCAUGGAAAAUUUUGCGAUAUCAAACAUGGCCAAAGUGUAUUUUUUAUAAUUAUUUUUUUAUACUUAUAACAAGAAAUUUCAAUAAUUAAUUGUUUGGUAGAUAUUUUGUUAAUUGAUUUUUUGACCGUUAGAGAUAAAGUGAGUCCCACCUGUGAGAAUAAUUCAAAAAUAACGGUUGAAAUAGUGAAAUAACGGUCAAAAAAUUGAUUUAAUUGAAUUAAAAUCCCUACCAAACAUGCUUAAAAUUAUAAACAUGACUUGACUAAUAUCUAACACUUAAUUCAGGCCUGUCAAUCAAUCAUUACAUAUGCAACUACUAUUACUAUAGGCGGUAGAUGCUAAAAUAGGUUUCCCGUUUCCUUAACAAUUAAGUGACUUUUCAUUUGAUCAAUUCAAGCAGUCAUUUUUGAGAAUUCAUUUAAGGAUGUUCACAAUAUAAUUUUAGAUUCUAUUUUUCAAUGAAUAAUGUUAUUUACAGUCGUCCACUAUUACAGUAGUCCUAUGUGACAUACAGGUGGUGGUAUCAAAUCACUAAUCCCUACAUGUACACUACGUAGGACGACUACGACAGUGAACGAUUGCAAAUAACAUUGCUCUUUUUCCAAUGAUUGUACGAUAUAGCAUGGAAAUUUAUUAUGCAAUUGAUUGUUUGAAAAUAUGCAUCCUAACUUUUUAAAGUUCCAAGAAAUUUGCUUUCUUGGCUUCGAUAAUACAACCAGAAUUGAUUCAAGGGUGUAUGCAAUGUAGUUUUUGGUUCUAUUUUUAAAAAUGAUGGUACGAUCAAGCAUGGCUUUCACUGUGCAAUUGAUUGCUUGAAAAUAUGAGUUCCAAGAAAUUUCCAUUCUUAGCUUGUUGGAGCACAAUUCACUAUGCACUCAACUUGAAAGGCAAAAAGUAGAUGAAACAAGAUUCAAAAAAGGGGAAACGAGUUCAUGAUUCCAUGAAUUUAAUGCUGCACGUAAUUUAAAGAGUGUGAUUGUGUCAAGUUGCAAGAAAUUUGCUCUCUUGGCUUCAGAAUUAAUUCAAGUGUUCGCAAAAUAAUGGUACGAUCAAGCAUGGGCAAAUACUGUGCAAUUGAUUGCUUGAAGAGUUCCAAGAAAUUUUCUUUCUUAGCUUGUUGGAGCACAAUUCACUAUGCACUCAACUUGAAAGGCAAAAAGUAAUAAGAUUAAAAAUAAUAAUAAUAAAAAAUAAAAAUUCAUGAUUGCAUGAAUUUAAUGCUGCACAUAAUUUAAGAGAGUGUGAUUGUGUCAAGUUGCAAAAAUCUUUCGUAUCGUUGCCUCAGAAUAUGUGAUUUUCUUCUUCUCUCAUUUUAGUAAAUUGUAUUUUUUUUUUCUUUUUUGUGUCUAAUAAUUAAGAAAACAUAUUUAUUGAUUGUUUUUAUUCAUUUGGCGUAAGAUUAUUUUUGUUUGUGACAGUUGAAAACAAUUGCGGAAUUGAUUGUUGAGUUGGACCAAUGUCUGAAAAUGUAAAACUUGAGUUUUACCAACUUAAGCUAAUUGAUUAUGUAAGUUGUAUAAGGGCCCGUUUGGCACGACUUUUACUUUGGCUUUUGCUUCUUGUAGAAGAGUUUUUGGAGAAAGCUAUUUUAAUUUUUGUUUGAAAAUUAAUAUUUAAAAUCACUUCCCAUUCCGGAAGUGCUUUUGGAGGAAGCCAAAAAAACCAGCUUCCUCUAAAAGUUCUUCUAACCUCCAAAAGUACUUUAAACAAAAAUAGCCAAACGGUCCAAAAGCGGCUUUUGGCUCUCAAAAGCUCCUUUUGGCUUUUCAUAAGCCAUCCCAAACGGGCCCUAAAUUAGGUUUGCGUGAAAACUCUUCAAACUAGUUACUUAAUCUUUUUUCCAAAACAUGUACAUGAAACAAUUAAUUUUUACCCCAUAUUCAUUUUAUGGAUCAUAUUUUUGUUUUCUUGUAUGAUUAUUUAGGUAAUGAAGUAGUAGAAUCUAAUGCCACGAAACAUAUAAUGUCUGAAUAAAUACUCUGUAAUUUAUUCUAUGAAAUGAUGGGACUCGAAGAUGCCAAAUGCUAGACUAAAUUAAAUAGAAAAAAAUCAUUUGAAAAUAAAUCAUGUGACUCUACUGUUAGUACACAAGUUAUUAGGGUUUUAUUGUAAAUUUUAGGAAGGGUAUGGCAAUACUGUAAUAUUUAAAUCCUUUCCACAUUAUAGUUUACACUUUUUGUCCAAUAUUCUCCUUGAUUUUUUAUUUUAUUUUUUUCAUUUUUUAUUGCUUUCAAAACUUGAAGUGAUCUAUACUUAUCGUUAGGCUACCUUUCCAAUAACACAUCAUCAAAUGUGCGUUUGAAUAAUUAUUUUAACAUGCUUGCGAUACGUUGCAAGCCAUAUUUUUAUUAUUUGUGAAUAAAACAUACUAUUUGUUAUUUUCUUAGUUUUUAUGGGGAAUAUGUAACGGUUAAUUUUUUAUUUUAAAAAAUAAUUAAAAUAGCAUCUACACAUACUGUAUUACACUCUAUAUGCCUUGCGUGUUUUGCCAUUUUGUACUAUUUUUUGGACGCAAACAUAAUUAUCAUUUGUUAGUGCUUGUGAAACAAUAAUUCGUAUAAUUUGUAAAAAAGUUGUCUACGCGCUAUAUAUAUUCUCUCUCUCUGUGUGUAUAUAAUUGAUAGUUCUAACUCUAAAUAUAUGAUUAUCAUGAUUGGUAUGAUAUGUAAAUGAAGUGAUCAAAUUUUUUUGUUGACGUUGAUUAAAAUAUUACUUUUGAGUAAGUUUCACUUAAGAACAAAGAAUUGCCUUUGUGGUCAUUAGAAUACAAUUUUUUUUGUAGAAUCUAAUGAAUUAUUGCAUUAAUUAAGACUAAUAAAUAGAGUAAAUAAAUUAUAGAACUUUUUUUUGAAAUUCUAUAUCAUUUGGUUUUACAAUUUACAUAUUUAGUGAAUUGACAUUAACUUAAAAUAUUAGUCUAUUGGGCAAAGAAGAUGGAAUAUUACAAAAAAAAUAUUAUUAUUAGUCAUGAGAUCUAGCUUAUAUAAGUCUAUACCAAAAUAUUAUAGUUAUAUUAUUUCUCUUCUCGAUCUUAUCUUGCAAUUUUAGGUCAAUAAAAUUUAGGCGUGAUUUUUAAAACUAUGAACGGGCUACGAAAGGGGUUUGGAUUCUCAACAUUAUUUUAUUGAUAUCGCAAUUAAUGCUCUUAUUUCAUACAGACAAAUGUUAGACAUACUCUACAAACUAUUCAUUGAUACUUUUUUAUAUUUUUUGUUAGCAAAAAUUGUGUACUAGUUUCAUGCUUAGGAAAUUGCAAUAUGUAAACUGUAAUUUUUUACGAGAGCUUGCUUUUAUUUGUUAAUACUUAAGAAAUAAUGGUAUGUAUAAAAUAUUUGUUAAGUAAUAUAUUUGUUAAAGUAGAUACGUAGUGUAAUUACAUUACGUAUCCACGUGGUGCAUUUUAUAAUUUUUUUCUAAGGGUAAUACAUUUGAUCAUUUUAAGAACCAUAUGGACAAAUGAGUUUGGUAGCUUUAUAUGUUUUCUGCUGGGAGCUCAUCAAUGUGCACCGCUCAUGUGUCGCACCUACAUUAUAAAAUUUUGUAAUUUCAAAAUGUUACAUAUUUUUCUUACACUUUGUUUCCUUUUAGAAAUUCUAAUCGAGAAUUUCUGUUUGUCAUAUGUGAUGGCACAAGCACAACGAUUAUUUAUUUAUUUGAUAUAUUUUGUGCACUUUCUAAUUUCAAUUUUCUAUUUACAGGAAGUCCACCAGUACAGACCUGGCCCUGGCCCAAGGCAAGUGAGGCCACUGCCUUGGGCCUCAAAUUGUACCUUGGGCCUCAAAUUGUAGGGGGCCUCAUCUAUUAAGGAUUAAAAAAAAAUGGCACAAGAAAAUGAACCGCCUUUCUCCAUAAAUCAUUUUUUCACCGUUUUCUUCUUCGUCUUCUCUUCUCCACCAGACCACCACAAGCUAACUUCUCUCAGGAGGCGGAGGCCCAGGCUAGUAGGUUGAUUAAGGAGAGGCUUAACGGAAAUUCAGCAGCUGAUUCUGGUUCACGAAGACCUGUCUCCGGCAAGAGGUCAUCCCUUUUUAUUUGUUAACAUGCUCGUUUAUGUCUCUAAACUAAUAAACUAAGUUAACUAACUUUUGUCUCGUAUUGUUUUAUUAUUUGAAUUGAUUUGUUUAUAAAUUUUUGAGGAAUGGGUUUACUUUUUCUACCGUCAUAAGAUUAGUUGAGAGACAUUUAUUUUGUAUUGAUGAAGUUUUGUUUAGUUCUAUAGUUACCGACCUGUGAAAUAGCCGGAAAGUUCUAUUUUGGGAUGUUUACAGAUACUAAUGGGAAGACGAAACAGUAUUGCCAUUAAAUAUUUGUGCACUCGCAAGGCCUGGUAAAAAUUUAAGGUUGAAAUACAUAGUUUCUAAUAUUCAGAACUUAGAAUAGAAAAAAGAACUCUAAUAAUCAUUUUUUGUGCACUUCAUAGGACAUCGACUCCUAAUAAUAAUUUGAGGCGUAUACAAUUUAGUGCACUCCUGGUACGUAAGAUUUGUAGUGUUUUCAUUUUGGGGCUUGUUGCUUCUAAAUGAAAAUAUUAGGAAUACAAAAAUAU